rnacentral:rRNA from 1 species
GUGCCAGCAGCCGCGGUAAGACAGAGGGUGCAAACGUUGUUCGGAAUUACUGGGCGUAAAGCGCGUGUAGGCGGCUAUGCAAGUCGGGCGUGAAAUCCCAUGGCUCAACCAUGGAAGUGCACUCGAAACUGCGUAGCUAGAGUCCUGGAGAGGAAGGUGGAAUACUUGGUGUAGAGGUGAAAUUCGUAGAUAUCAAGUGGAACACCGGUGGCGAAGGCGGCCUUCUGGACAGUGACUGACGCUGAGACGCGAAAGCGUGGGGAGCAAACAGGAUUAGAUACCCGAGUAGUCC